GGCCCUGCGGCGACUACGCCGCCUGGCGGAUGGCUUGGCUCGGGUGCCGAAGAAGGGCGCGGCAAGCGGCGAUAUUCCUGGGGGAGGCGCAAGCAGCCUUAGAACCCAGGGAUCCCGAAUGGGACUUCCUACAUGGAGUUAACAGCUCCAUGUGUCCCGUAAGGGACGGGAACUCCCCGAACGGAAACAUCUUAGUAGGGGAAGGAAGAGAAAUCAAUCGAGAUCCCCUUAGUAGGGGCGACCGAAAGGGGGAGAGCCCAAACCAAUUCCCUACAGGACAACUGUGGGGAGAUGAGGGGUCACCGCCUCCAUAGCUGGGUUCAAAGCCCAGCAGGCCUAGGCAUGAUAGCCGAAUGACCUGGAAAGGUCAGCCGUAGAGGGUGAUAGCCCCGUAGGUGAAAUCAUGCAGGCCUGCGCUAUGGAGGAGAGUACUACGGCUCGGUUUUGCCGUAGGAAGGUGGGGGGCACCAACCUCCAAGGCUAAACACAACCCGAGACCGAUAGCGUACUUAGUACCGUGAGGGAAAGCUGAAAAGAACCCCUUGUCGGGGGGUUAAAAGAGCCUGAAACCAGGCGGUUACAAAGGGUAUGGCUCUAAAGGGAUGAAGGGUCCGAAGGAAACCUGGGCGACCAGGAAGUACGAGGAUUCCCAACCGGAGUCAUACCUUCCGUCUUGAAACACGGGCCGGGGAGUUUACGGUCGUGGCAAGCCUAAAGGGAUUAACCCUGAAGGCGGAGGGAAACCGAUAUGCCCGCAGCCAGCUUUGCUGGUAAGGGGCAAGGUCUUAACGGGCCUGUAGUCACGGCCGUAAAACCCGAAACCGAGCGAUCUAGGCGGGGGCAGGGCGAAGCCGGGGGAAACCCCGGUGGAGGCCCGAAAGGGUUCUGACGUGCAAAUCGUUCCCAUGACCUCUGCCUAGGGGUAAAAGGCCAAUCUAGCUCGGUGAUAGCUGGUUCCUGCCGAAGUGUGUCGCAGCACAGCCCCGCUGGAGGCAAGCUGUGGGGUAGAGCUACGGAUUGGGUGAGCAGAGGGCGAAAGCCCUCGCAGCCCAGUCAAACUCCGAACCUGCAGCUACCGAAGAAGGCGGGAGUGGGGUUCCUCGGCAUAAGGCUGAGGGCCGAGAGGGGCUCAACCCGGACCAAGGUUAAGGCCCCUAAGUGCCGGCUAAGUGCUAAGGGAAAAGGCGUCCCUUGCCUAAGACAGCGGGGAGGUGGGCCCAACAGCAGCCAUCCUCUAAGGAGUGCGUAACAGCUCACCCGCCGAGGCAAGGGGCCCUGAAGAUUAGUCGGGGCUUAAGCCGGCCGCCGAGACCUUGGAUUACCCUCAUUAUGAGGGUAUAUAGUAGGCAGGCGUCGGGAUGGCGCAGAAGUAGGGCCGUGAGGUCCUAUGGAGCCGUUCCGAGUGCUGAUCCCGGCGGUAGUAGCAGCGAAGCGGGGUGGGAAUCCCCGCCGCCGUAAGGGCCAGGGUUCCCCGGCAACGAUCGUCGGCCGGGGGUUAGCCGGUCCUAACCGGAUGCGUAACUCGACAUCCGGGAAAGGGAAACGGGUUAAUAUUCCCGUGCCGUGGGGGUACGUUUCGGGGCAACCCAAGGCCUAGCUUCCGACGUCUUAGGGUAGGCGGACUGGAGGCCUCCUUAAGGGGGCGAUCCAGCUAACUUCUUAAGGCCGGGAAGUGCUGUAAUAGCGAGAACCGGCUGAAGGAAGGAAUGGCCUGCGUUAGCGGGUUCCGCUGAGCCCCAGGACCCAUGAAAAGGAAGCUAGGAAGGAUCCUCCACGACCGUACCGAGAACCGACACAGGUGCCCCUGGGUGAGGAGCCCAAGGCGUAGGGGGGUUAACCUAGGCUAGGGAACUCGGCAAACUAGCCCCAUAACUUCGGGAUAAGGGGUGCCUGCGAUUCUUAGCUGAAACUAGGAAUCGCAGGUCGCAGUAACAAGGGGGACCUGACUGUUUAACAAAAACAUAGCUCCCCGCUAGCCCGAAAGGGUUUGUACGGGGGGUGAAUCCUGGCCACUGGUGGUAGGUGAAACCCGGGUUCAACCGGGCGAAGCCCCACUGAAGGCCGGGGGUAACCCUGACCCUCUUAAGGUAGCCAAAUGCCUUGUCGGGUAAGUUCCGACGCGCAUGAACGGAUCAACGAGGUCCCCGCUGUCCCGGCCUGGGGCCCCGCGAACACGCUGAGCGGGUGCAUAGUCCCGCAACCUCCUGCAGGGCGAGAAGACCCCGUGGAGCUUCACCGCAGCCUGACGCUGACUCUCGAGCGGAGCCGCGUAGUGUAGGUGGGAGCCAUUGAGUUACCUCCUUCGGGAGGUAAUGAGGCGACAAUGAAACACCACCCGUCUCUGCUUGAGGGCCUAACCCGAAAGGGGACAACGUUAGGUGGGCGGUUCGGCUGGGGCGGCACGCCUGCGAAAAAGUAACACAGGCGCCCAAAGGUCGGCUCAGGUGGGUCAGAAACCCGCCGUAGAGCGUAAGGGCAAAAGCCGGCCUGACCGGAUCCUUGAUGGCAAGGGAUCCGGACGGGAAACCGCGGCCUAGCGCACGCUCGUGCCCCUCUUGGUGGGGGCCGGGCACGACGGAAAAGUUACCCCGGGGAUAACAGAGUCGUCGCGGGCGAGAGCUCCUAUCGACCCCGCGGUUUGCUUCAUCGAUGUCGGCUUUUCCCAUCCUGGGAGUGCAGCAGCUUCCAAGGGUGGGGCUGCCCGCCCAUUAAAGGGGAACGUGAGCUGGGUUCAGACCGUCGUGAGACAGGUCGGUCUCUACCCGCAGGAGGUGCAGGCCGUCUGAGGGGGAGGUACCCCUAGUACGAGAGGAACGGGGUGCCGUGGCCUCUAGUGUACCGGUUGUCCUGAGGGGCAAUGCCGGGCAGCCACGCCAUAAGGGGUUAUCGCUGAAGGCAUCUAAGCGAGAACCCUUCCCCGAAAAGAGACGGCCAUCUGCCUUCCAGUGAAAACUGGAGGACAGCGAGGGCUCCCGUAAAAUACGGGUUUGAUGGGGUGGGGGUGUAAGUCGCGAGGGCGAAAGCUCGAGCGAUUCAGCCCGCCACUCCCAACAGCCCGAGGCUGCAGGUCA
rfam:Caldisphaera lagunensis DSM 15908, complete genome.